GACGAACGCUGGCGGCGCGCUUAACACAUGCAAGUCGAACGGAAAGGCCUGCUUUCCCUUGUGGAUUGCGGGGACUCGAGUGGCGAACGGGUGAGUAACACGUGAGUGAUCUGCCCCCAACUUGGGUAUAAGCCUGGGAAACUGGGUCUAAUUCCCGAUAGGACUGCAGGGUGGUGCCGGUGGUGGAAAACGAUGUUCUAGGGGUUGGGGAUGAGCUCGCGGCCUAUCAGCUUGUUGGUGGGGUAAUGGCCUACCAAGGCGGCGACGGGGAGCCGGCCUGGGAGGGUGGACGGGCGCAUUGGGACUGAGAUACGGCCCAGACUCCUACGGGAGGAAGCAGUGGGGAGGAAUGCACAAUGGGCGGAAGCCUGAGGCAGCGACGCCGCGUGGGGGAUGACGGGCUUCGGGUUGUAAACUCCUUUCGACAGCGAGGAAGCCACCUGGUUGGAAGGGUGGUGACGGUAGUGGUAGAAGAAGCACCGGCUAACUACGUG
rnacentral:rRNA from 1 species